AUUGAACGCUGGCGGCAGGCCUAACACAUGCCAGUCGAGCGGAUGAAGGGAGCUUGCUCCUGGAUUCAGCGGCGGACGGGUGAGUAAUGCCUAGGAAUCUGCCUGGUAGUGGGGGAUAACGUCCGGAGACGGGCGCUAAUACCGCAUACGUCCUGAGGGAGAAAGUGGGGGAUCUUCGGACCUCACGCUAUCAGAUGAGCCUAGGUCGGAUUAGCUAGUUGGUGGGGUAAAGGCCUACCAAGGCGACGAUCCGUAACUGGUCUGAGAGGAUGAUCAGUCACACUGGAACUGAGACACGGUCCAGACUCCUACGGGAGGCAGCAGUGGGGAAUAUUGGACAAUGGGCGAAAGCCUGAUCCAGCCAUGCCGCGUGUGUGAAGAAGGUCUUCGGAUUGUAAAGCACUUUAAGUUGGGAGGAAGGGCAGUAAGUUAAUACCUUACUGUUUUGACGUUACCAACAGAAUAAGCACCGGCUAACUUCGUG
rnacentral:rRNA from 1 species